rnacentral:sRNA from 1 species
GAGGGAAGGGGGAGCGCCGACGGCCCGAGACUGUCGCCGGCUCCGUGCGCGUGCACGUCCCUCGCCGUCGCUCUUUCCGACCCUUUGGGGCUUCGACCUUCUCAACACCUGUGUGCACCCACUGUAGGUCCUUCGGGAUCUACGUCUCCUUUCAAACUCGCAUGUCUACAGAACGUAUUCGUCGUGUCCCGGCCUCGACCCUCAGGGUCCCGCGUCGGCGACCGCAAAACCUAUAGUACAACUUUCAGCAACGGAUCUCUUGGCUCUCGCAUCGAUGAAGAACGCAGCGAAUCGCGAUAAGUAAUGUGAAUUGCAGAUUUUCCGUGAAUCAUCGAAUCUUUGAACGCACCUUGCGCUCCUUGGUAUUCCGAGGAGCAUGCCUGUUUGAGUGUCAUCGAAACCUCAGAUCGAUGCUUCGACUCUGUCGGAGCUCGGUUUGGACCAUGGGAGUCUGCGGGCGAAGCGUGACUUCGUCGGCUCUCCUCAAAAGCAUUAGCCGUGGGUGGCGAGCCUGGCAUGGCACGGCCUCUUCGACGUCAUAAUGAUCGUCGUGGGCUGGAAGUGUACGGCUCGACGGACCCGUGCUUCGCAAUUCUUGCGAGCCCGUCCCUCGUGGACGGCCGCGCCCCAUCGAAGCUUGACCUCAAAUCAGGUAGGACUACCCGCCGAACUUAAGC